AAAAUCGCGAGGAACCCCAAGUGCGAUUGAAGCUGCUUGAAGGAGAAGGAGAAGGAAGCAACUGGUAGCUGAAUCGUCCUUUGAAAAUCAUGAGGAGCCCUUCAAGUUCUUGCGAUUUGGUGCCUAUACUCUGCAGGUAACCAAAUGUGAUUUUCAUUCCUGAUAUUUGCAUAUAAAUGUCACUUCAAGUGUCAGUUGGAGCAAGUCUGAUGCACUGAAAUACAAACGUGUAAGGUGUAGAUGCAAUCGAAAAGCUGUCAUUAGGAUCUCUAAGACAAAUGAUAAUCCGAAUAGACUCUUUCAUAGCUGUCCAGACUUGAAUGAAUGUAAAUUCUUUGCUUGGUGUGAUCCCAUUAAUGCACUAGUCGACUUACCUAAUAGAGAAGUACCAGCAAACACCCUCAUUUGUAACUUGCUUGAGUUGCAAGCGGAGGUACGAGGUUUGGUAGAACAGGUCCGUGGCCUGCAAGUCGGGAUUCGUGAGGUGUGGGAGGAGUUGCGAGUCUUGCGAGAGGUCGUAUGAGGGUUGCAACAAGAGUUUGGAAUUGAGAAGUUUAGAUUGGAUGAGAUAGAGAAGUUGACAACAUCAAUCAAGCUCGUGUGUCAAUUUGUAGUUGUUUUCUUUGUGGGAGUACUUGUAACUAUUUGUAUGGUAAUAUUGUGACAGUAUUAGAGUACUUGUAACCUAACUAUUUUGUAUGGGUAAAAUAGUGUGAUAGUAUUAGAGUACUUGUAACCAUUCCUCUUUAAUGAAUUGCUUCUUUGUUACCAGAA